GACGAACGCUGGCGGCGUGCUUAACACAUGCAAGUCGUGGGCACCAGCAAUGGUGACCGGCGAACGGGUGCGUAACACGUGAGCGACCUACCGAUUUGUGGGGGAUAGCCGGCCCAACGGCCGGGUAAUACCGCAUACGCCGAGCUUGCCGCAUGGCUUGCUCGGGAAACCUCCGGGGCAAAUCGAGGGGCUCGCGGCCUAUCAGCUAGUUGGCGAGGUAAUGGCUCACCAAGGCGACGACGGGUAGCUGGUCUGAGAGGAUGGCCAGCCACAUUGGGACUGAGAAACGGCCCAGACUCCUACGGGAGGCAGCAGGUGGGGAAUCUUGCGCAAUGGCCGAAAGGCUGACGCAGCGACGCCGCGUGUGGGAUGAAGC
rnacentral:rRNA from 1 species